rnacentral:rRNA from 1 species
UAGGGAAUCUUCCACAAUGGACGAAAGUCUGAUGGAGCAACGCCGCGUGAGUGAAGAAGGGUUUCGGCUCGUAAAACUCUGUUGUUAAAGAAGAACGUUGGUGAGAGUGGAAAGCUCAUCAAGUGACGGUAACUACCCAGAAAGGGACGGCUAACUACGUGCCAA